rfam:Pterocles gutturalis contig92375, whole genome shotgun sequence.
GUGUGCUUAUGAAGAUCGCUAACGAAAGAGUUAACUCAGUUGGCGUUCAGAUGCCCUCACAC